rnacentral:misc_RNA from 1 species
GAAAUGCGAUAAGUAAUGUGAAUUGCAGAAUUCAGUGAAUCAUCGAAUCUUUGAACGCAUCUUGCGCUCCUUGGUAUUCCUUGGAGCAUGCCUGUUUGAGUAUCAUGAAAUCUUCAAAGUAAAUCUUUUGUCAACUCAAUUGGUUUCUACUUUGGUAUUGGAGGUCUUUGCAGCUUCACACCUGCUCCUCUUUGUUCAUUAGCUGGAUCUCAGUGUUAUGCUUGGUUCCACUCGGCGUGAUAAGUUAUCUAUCGCUGAGGACACUGUAAAAGGUGGCCAAGGUAAAUGCAGAUGAACCGCUUCUAAUAGUCUAUUGACUUGGACAAUACUUUUAUGAUCUGAUCUCAAAUCAGGUAGGACUACCCGCUGAACUUAAGC